rnacentral:rRNA from 1 species
GACGGAGGAUGCAAGCGUUAUCCGGAAUGAUUGGGCGUAAAGCGUCCGCAGGUGGCAGUUCAAGUCUGCUGUCAAAGACCGGGGCUUAACUUCGGAAAGGCAGUGGAAACUGAACAGCUAGAGUAUGGUAGGGGCAGAGGGAAUUCCUGGUGUAGCGGUGAAAUGCGUAGAUAUCGGAAGGAACACCGGUGGCGAAAGCGGCGCGCUGGACCCCCACUGACGCUGAGGCGCGAAAGCCAGGGAGCAAACGGG